rnacentral:lncRNA from 1 species
UUUUUUUUUUUUUAAACAAAAAAGGGGAUUGCAACACCCCAAAUAUAUUAGAGAGAAGAAAAAAAAGGGGAACCAACAAACAAAAGAGGAAGGGAGGGGGACUAGGCCAAAACCUCCCUAAGGAUUGACAAACCUAUAACAAGGCAACCCUAAUCUAUUCUGACCAUAAUGACCUCUAAUACAUGUAGGGAUGUCAUACCAAACAGUUAAAGAAGUCAAAGACAACCCUGCAUUAGCAAGAGAAUCUGCACAGAAGUUACCCUCUCUAUACACAUGAGUCACUAUAAAAUUCAUGCCUCUAGUCUUCAACAUG